AGGAGUGAUGCUCUGCUGCUAGCACAGAUGUCGCCAUAGUUUCGAGGCACCGUCUGGCAAGGCGAGAGGCUCUGCUAGUAGCACAGUCGCUACCAUAGUCCCGAUGCCCUUUCUGGGUAGGUAAGCAACCAACUAUCCUGCACUGUUUGUUUUUUUUUAGUUUGUAAUGCAUGUAUUGUGAAAUUAGGCUUGGUGCCUAGCUAUGUCCCGUUUACUAAUGACCAUUUGCACCUAUCACUGAUGCCAUCAUUGUCCCGAGGCGCGUUCUGGCAAGGCGAGAGGCUCUGCUUGUAGCACAGACGCUACCAUAGUCCCGAGGCUCUGUCUGGCAAGACCAGAAGCUCUGCACCUAGCAGAUGCCACCAUAGUCCCGAGGCACCGUCUGGCAAGGUGAGCAAUUGACUAUCCGCUGGACCCUGUUUUCUUCUUUAC